rnacentral:misc_RNA from 1 species
CUGAACUGAAAAGGAAAUCCAAGGUAAUUUGCUUUCUGACCUUUCUAUAUUUUGUUUAUUAGAGGCUUGCUGGUUUCCUUUUCACCUUGCAUUUACAAGAAUAGAUAAAUUUAACAAGUCAAUUAGAGGCUUCCUUUUCAGCUCUUAACCAGGAAGAGAAAUAGAGUUCUAUGCAAGGAUUGUUCGGUCAUUCCAGGAGAGGCUUUAA